rnacentral:rRNA from 1 species
AUGUCGGUGUCGGUGCACAAGCUAGAGCAGGCGCGGACGUCGAAGAAGAUGCAGUGGGUAAGCAAAGACAGUCGUAGUUUGUCCGACCGUGUACUGUUCCUUGGGUCACCAAGCUGCUUCGCUAUGGACGCCUCACUUGUGGGGGGCGGCCAAGGUGGGUGUGUCUAUUUCAUCUACCACGACAGUGGGGCCUCACCCCGUGACCAGAAUGCGGUGUUCCGGUAUAACCUCGUUGCCGGCAAGGCUGAAUUUGUCGAGCGGCUGCCUCCAAGUUGGGAUGACCAGACAUGCACAUGGUUUGUCCCCCGGUCCAUCGUUACUCCCGUUUGUCCAACACACCUCAUUCACAUGUGA